rnacentral:rRNA from 1 species
GAUGAACGCUGGCGGCGUGCCUAAUACAUGCAAGUCGAGCGAACAGACGAUGAUCUUGCUCCUCUGACGUUAGCGGCGGACGGGUGAGUAACACGUGGAUAACCUACCUAUAAGACUGGUAUAACUUCGGGAAACCGGAGCUAAUACCGGAUAAUAUAUUGAACCGCAUGGUUCAAUAGUGAAAGACGGUUUUGCUGUCACUUAUAGAUGGAUCCGCGCCGCAUUAGCUAGUUGGUAAGGUAACGGCUUACCAAGGCAACGAUGCGUAGCCGACCUGAGAGGCUGAUAGGCCACACUGGAGCUGAGACACGGUCAAGACGCCUACGGGAGGCAGCAGUAGGGAAUCGUCCGCAAUGGGCGAGAGCAUGACGGAGCAACGCGGAGUGAGUGAUGAAGGUCUUCGGAUCGUAAAACUCUGUUAUUAGGGAAGAACAAAUGUGUAAGUAACUAUGCCCGUCUUGACGGUACCUAAUCAGAAAGCCACGGCUAACUACGUG